rnacentral:rRNA from 1 species
AACGAACGCUGGCGGCAGGCUUAACACAUGCAAGUCGAACGCCCCGCAAGGGGAGUGGCAGACGGGUGAGUAACGCGUGGGAAUCUACCCAGUUCUACGGAAUAACCCAGGGAAACUUGGACUAAUACCGUAUACGCCCUACGGGGGAAAGAUUUAUCGGAAUUGGAUGAGCCCGCGUAAGAUUAGCUAGUUGGUGGGGUAAUGGCCUACCAAGGCGACGAUCUUUAGCUGGUCUGAGAGGAUGAUCAGCCACACUGGGACUGAGACACGGCCCAGACUCCUACGGGAGGCAGCAGUGGGGAAUAUUGGACAAUGGGCGCAAGCCUGAUCCAGCCACGCCGCGUGAGUGAUGAAGGCCUUAGGGUUGUAAAGCUCUUUCAGUGGGGAAGAUAAUGACGGUACCCACAGAAGAAGCCCCGGCUAACUUCGUGCCAGCCGCCGCAGUAAAAC